rnacentral:piRNA from 1 species
GGUGAUGACUCAGCUCUGCCAUUGCUGC